rnacentral:rRNA from 1 species
GGAGGAAUAUUGGACAAUGGAUGGAAAUCUGAUCCAGCCAUGCCGCGUGCAGGAAGACGGUCCUAUGGAUUGUAAACUGCUUUAGCAUGGGAGCAAUAAGGUGUACGCGUACACCGAUGAGAGUACCAUGAGAAUAAGCACCGGCUAACUCCGUGCCAGCAGCCGCGGUAAUACGGAGGGUGCAAGCGUUAUCCGGAUUUAUUGGGUUUAAAGGUGCGUAGGCUGUUUUGCAAGUCAGGGGUGAAAGCCCGGAGCUCAACUCCGGAACUGCCUUUGAUACUGCGAGGCUGGAAUACGGAUGCCGUGGGAGGAAUGAGUAGUGUAGCGGUGAAAUGCAUAGAUAUUACUCAGAACACCGAUUGCGAAGGCAUCUCACGAAUCCGUCAUUGACGCUGAGGCACGAAAGCGUGGGGA